rnacentral:lncRNA from 10 species
UCUUCAGAUUAGAUGACCAAUGAUUACAACUCUUAGAAAUGAGUGGAUUGGAAAAGGGGAUUGAAUUACUCCUUCUGUGAAGACUAGGGAAGUAGAUGUAAAGGAAGUUUGGGAGCUGGUAAUCAACAUGGAAACAUGUAUCAAGCCAUCAAAUAUUCCACAGACUGGUCUCCUAUCUUUCAUUCUAUUUUAAUUCUGGAUAAACUAUGAAGAGGGUUCUCCCUACUCACUUCCUCCAAUUCCCAAAGUUUUUAGAACAACAGGUCAGCGUGUUCCAUUAGAGCAUAAAAUAUCACCAUUUUCAUGCUACCAUGAAGCUCUGCAUUGGAACAAACUGGAAUAAUUCAGAUGGUACUAAUUUGAACACAUCAUUCCAUGCUUCCUGGAGUAAUCACACAGCUUGCUUAGAUUUUCUAAACAUGACUGAACUGUGAUGAAGCGAUCAACAUUAACUGCCAAGACUCCACAUAGCAAUGAUGUGCUGGCCACCCACUGGGAAAACACCUGUCACCCCUUGAUGGACCUUUCUGACACUGUUUGCCUGUCCUCAAAAGUUCCUGAAAUAUUUACCAGUCAGCAUCUUGGAAAAAACAAAUAAUGGGGCCUUCUCAGAGUGAGGAAGCUUCCUGGAGGGUCAUCAGGACACUACAGAAGAGCUAAUCCAACAUGGAUCUCUAAAACUAUGCAAUUAAGACGAGUGUGGUGGCUCACACCUGUAAUGCCGGCACUUCGGGAGACCAAGGCGGUUGGAUCACUUGAGACCAGGAGUUUAAGGUCAGCCUGGGCAACAUGGCAAAACCCUGUCUCCACUAAAAAUAAAAAAAUUAGCCCUGCGUGGUGGGCAGACCUGUGGUCCCAGCUUUCAGGAGGCUGAGGCACGAGAAUUGCUUGAGCUCAGGAGGCGGAGGCUGAAGUGAGCCAAUAUCGGCAACUGCACUCCAGCCUGGGCAACAGAGCAAGACUGUGUCUCAAAAAAAUAAAUAAAAUAAAAUAAAUAAAAUAAAAUAAAGCUAUGCUAUUAGCUCAAGUAAUCUAAUUGCAUUACAUCAAUUUUAAAAAUUAUUUUCAAAAAUGUAUUUCAAUGUUAUCUGCUACCUUGCAUCACUACCUUCUUGCCCUGAUUUUCACAGCAAAAUCUUGUACAUAAGUAUCUACCAACUGUAAAAAAAAAGCCUCAGAUUAUGUUCCAUAGAUAAUGCAGAAUCAAGGCAAUUACCUGGAAAUGGAUAUCAAAAAUAAAUUUUUAUCUCAAAUAGAUAUUUUAGUAAAAAGAAGCUUGUUGUUAUAAAUUAUGUUAAUAAAAACAUAGUAGUUCACUUCAGUUUGCAUAUAUAUAGUUUCAACAUCUAGCUUGGUUUACUCCCAAGAGACAAAAUUAAGCUAAAAAAAUUUUUUUCAGAUGCCUCAUCUGUUUAGGGUUUAUUUUUCUUUUGCAGUUUAGGAUUGUGGCUGAUAUUUUAAUAAAUAAGUUAGAAAAAUAGGGUAGCAUGAAUAUUAAUUAAAACAAUUCAGAAUAUAUCAAAUAUGUAAGAGGUUAUUUGCUAUAAAACUGAUAACUAAAAGAAAGAGAAAGGAGACAGAAUUGAACUGUCACCAAGGCUCGAACUCCAUUUUCCUAGUAGCUGUUACCGAAUUGCAGAUAACACAUAAAUCUCUGUGCUGAAGUGUGAGCUCUCUAAUCAAAGGAGCAAUCUUCUGAGCAAUCCUGAAGCUCAAAGUGUUCACUCCCUUUGAGCAAACCCUGUGUAGGAAAUUCGUAUGUAGGAAAUUCAUUUUUGACACUGCUAUAAUAAGUUGUUACUCUUGCUUUCAGCUGGCUUAGUUUUAAAAUCUGUUUUAUUCUUAUUAGCUUAAAAAUAUUAUAAUUAUUAUGUGUUCCAUUAUGUUUUAUUUUCAUUUAUAAAAAAGCAUAUGUUCUAUAUCCUGAUUUUUUUCUCUUAUCAUGUUAACACCAAUGAUCUAUAUCAUAAUGUUUUUGUAGUUGCAUAAUUUGGAUAUAUCAUAGUUAUUUAGUCAUUCUAUGAGUUAACUUUCAGGCUUUUUCUCUUUUUUAUUUCUUUAGCUAUUAUUAACAAUGAUGCCAUAGUUAUCCUUAAAGAAGUAUCUUUUCAUAAUAGUACUUUUAUUUCUACAUAUUAAAUUGUGAUUCCUUUUAAACUUCUUUAAAUUUAAAUAUAUAUAUUUUUUAGCGACAAGGUCUUGUUAUGUUGCCUAGGCUGGACUUGAAUCCUGGGCUCAAGGUAACCUACCACCUUAGCCUUCCUUCAGAGUAGCUGGUACUACAGGCAUGCAACCCUACACCAGGAUACAAAUUGUGUGUUUCUUGAGUCAAAUGGUUUGAAUGCUUUUUAAAAUUUUAAGAUUACUACUCCAAAAUGAUUACUGUAUCAAAUUUUAAGUUAUAAUAAUUAUAAUUAUUUAGAAUCAUACCACCAAUGUGUGAGAGUACCCAUUUUGACAAACUCACAUAAAUCUCUGGAUAUUAUAAAUAUAGUUAGAUUUUAGUAGAUUUUUAGUUAGAUUUUAGUUAGCCAUUCCUGGCUGUGAGUGAGACAGAAUGUCUUCUUACAUGUUUGUUCGUCAUUUGUGAUCCAUUAAAACAAAUAAUCACAAAAAUAAACUUAUUUAUGGUUUUUUAUAUUUCAUUUUAGUCUUUUAAAUGAAAAACAUUAUUAGUCUGAGCUCUUUAGACACCAUUCGUUAGACAGUGCAAGCAAAGUUAACUUUCACACCUUCUGAAUUUAGAGAUGAUAUGUACAAAAUCAAUAUUCAACAAAAUCCAACAAAAUGUAAUUAGCAUCUACUUUGUGUCGGGCACUACUUUAGGCAUAAAUAUGAGUAAGAUACAGCCCCUAUCCUCAAAAUAGAGAGAUAAAGCAGUAAAUAAUUCUAAAACAAUUUGCUAAUGACAAUGUGACUUCCUUAAGGACAAGGACAAUAACUUUUUCCCUUAGUAGCUAAAAGUAAAGAACAAAGAAAGAAAUGAGCAAAGAAAUUAGUUGUGACCACAGUAUAAAAAAAGAGAAUAAGGCAUGGCCCCAGAGAUCCAGGAAAUUAUUCACUAGAAAGCCAGUUUGUAAAGUUUGAGAGUAGGAUAGGGAGUUGAGGGAGGUGGGAGAAGAAGAGAGGAGGCCUACAGGACAAAGCAGGUCUAACUCUUACAUAUCCAAAGUCAUAAACUGUGUACAAAGUGAGGGAAUAUAAAUGUUACACAAUAAUUAUUAUCUAAAAUAUAUUACUUUUCAACACUGGCCAAAUCUCCCAACCCAGUGACUGUUUUCAAACUGAGAUGAAACUUGAGGGAAGUCCUCAGUAAAAUGAUUUUACUUAUUUAACUCUAAACCUAUUUUUGAAUAGGUUUCGAAGCUUUUUCUAAUUUAGGAAAUGAAAAAAAAAUUUAAUUACUUUGAAAUUAUUCUGUAAAAAUACAAGAUGUAGUUGUUCUGUCUUUACUCAUGGGUAACGCCA